UAGAGCUCGGCCGCAGCCGCCGCAGCGGCCGCCAGCCCCAGGCGCAUCUGGCCGUUGAGAGGGUGGCCGCCAGGAGCCCCCGGAGAGUCGUGCAGCGCGGGAAAGAGCGCGGGGCCGCCGCCGUCCCGGCCCGCCGAUUGGCAGAGUGAACACCACAUUUGAGCUGCACAGUGGGACCGACUUUUUGGAAAUGGCACGGGUGGGAUUGGAGGGAGCCAUGUGAUUGGCAGCUGCCUCGGCUGCGCGAUUGGCUCCGGUUCAGGCUCUGGGCCCAGCGGGGAACCGCCCCCCGAGCUCGAGACCGCCUGCGCUUUCACUUCGCGCCCCCUCCUCCCCAGGAGCUCUACAUGCCAGUCCCUUCCCCCCCUCCCCAUCUCUACGGAUGCCUAAGUUCCACUUGCAGAAGUUUGUGCUUGGCCUACUCCCUCAGUCCCCAGCGAACGUUCGGUCGACGCUCCUGGAGUGGAGCUCCUGGCCAGGGUGCAUCCAAUUUCGAGGGGGUCAAGGGACCUCCCGACCUGGGGUAAAGCUACGACGCGGGUGGGGAAGAACCCAAGGAUGGUAGUCCCCGAACACUUUCUACCUCCUUUCUUGGAUGAUCCCCUGGCUUCACUCUGGACCGAGUAACCAUCUUGCCAUGCAUGGUAUUUUAGCGAUGGGGGAAACUUCUUAUAUGGACCUCGUCUGCCACUGGGCCCACGUGGGGUAUGGCCUGGAGGCGGAAUGAGGACGGUUGUUAAACAUUAUUGGUUGCAAAACAGCUUCAUGGAGCUUGGCCAAAUACCAAAGUCAAAAUAAUAUAUGAUAAAUCCUUCCCCAAAAGAACAGUCUUACAUAGACUCUUUUAGCUCAUGGGUUGCCCAUUCAAACAUGGCUCAAAGGAACGGGCUCAAGAUGUAACCUCACUGUUCAUGGGUUCUAGACCUGCUCCUUCCAGUUAGAUCUCUCUGAGGGGCAGGGAGAUGGGACUAUGGAGUGGGGGUGGGGGUGUGAAGCUAACUUUUGCCUCUCAGAGUGGCAGAGAAGGCCAAGUGAAGCCUUUAAAUAAGAGACGCCCUUUAAACAGAAGGUCUCCUUCCUGCCCAGAACGCAUUCCUCAUAUGUGCCUCAGUUUCUCCAGAAGGACUGCAAGUUGGAAUAGACCAAAUAAAAUAUUUUAAAAAUCA